CGCAUCUGUGCAUGCAGCAUAUCAAUAAGCGGAGGAAAAGAAACUAACAAGGAUUCCCCUAGUAACGGCGAGUGAAGCGGGAAGAGCUCAAAUUUGAAAUCUUAAAGGGUUUCCCUUUACGAAUUGUAGUUUAAAGAAGUGUUUUCUGUUGAGGUUUUGGUAAAAGUUCUUUGGAAUAGGACAUCAUAGAGGGUGAGAAUCCCGUAUUUGACCUUUACUUUCAACUUUGUGAUACACUUUCAAAGAGUCGGAUUGUUUGGGAAUGCAGUCCAAAAUGGGUGGUAAAUUUCAUCUAAAGCUAAAUAUUGGCGAGAGACCGAUAGCGAACAAGUACCGUGAGGGAAAGAUGAAAAGAACUUUGAAAAGAGAGUUAAACAGUACGUGAAAUUGUCAAAAGGGAAGCGUUUGACACCAGUGUUGUUUUUCUGAAAAUCAAUUAAAGAACUGUUUAUGCUAAGUUGUUUAGACUUUAUCAGCUAUCUGUUUAGUUUUAGGCUUUUCUUUAAUGCACUUUUCAGUUAACAAGUCAACAUCAGUUUCUUUUGCUGUAAAAAAGCUUGAGGAAGGUGGCUUGAGAUUCGUCUUAAGUGUUUAUAGCCUCUUGCCUAUGCAGUCGGAGAGAUUGAGGUCUGCAGCGUAGAUCCUUCGGGGCUAAAUGCAUUUGUGCUAAGUUAUAGCAUUUUAUAGACAACUUGUUGACUAUGAUUUGUCUUGUAGCUUACUCGCUUAUGUUAUUUUACCUACGCUUAGGAUGUUGAACGCGCACAGAGUCUC
rnacentral:rRNA from 1 species